GUACACACCGCCCGUCACACCAUGGGAGUGGGUUGCUCCAGAAGUAGCUAGUCUAACCUUCGGGRGGACGGUUACCACGGAGUGAUUCAUGACUGGGGUGAAGUCGUAACAAGGUAGCCGUAGGUGAACCUGCAGAAGGAUCA
rnacentral:rRNA from 1 species